GCAUGUGUGAGGUACUGGGUUUGAUUCUCAGCACCGCAUAUAAAUAAGUAAAAUAAAAGUCCAUUGACAACUAAAAAAAAAUUAAAAAUAAUUUUAUGCUCAAAAUCUUAUUUAUUCUAGACUUUUUCCCAGAAAUAUUUAAAUUCCAGGAAACUCCUUAUCAUUGCUGAAGAACCUUUGAGGGACACCCUUGAUUUAUAGCAUUAUUAGAAGUAACAUCUGGACAGUGAUUCCAUUGUCAGUAGAACUUGAAAACAGUGAAGACACUAAUAUUAGAUUGCCACCAGAAAGAUUAAGUUAGAUAUAGGUUAGGGAAACAGGUUCUUUUGAAGGAUGGAUUAACAUUGUGUCAAAACAAAAUGAACAUAUAAAAGCGUUUAAUAUAAGGCGACACAGAAUCUCAAUGAUUUCUCAGGAGAAUGACUGGAGGUUGGAAGAGGAAGAGGAAAUCUUAUUUUAUUCCCUUCUAUGUAUUCAAAUAUUUUGGCCUAGCAAUCAAACUUUUAGAAACCUAUCCUACAAGUAUGUUCACACUAUUGCUCAAAAAAAUGUAAACAAGGAUAUAUAUUUCACCAUUAUUUUACUAGCAAAAGUAUCUUAGAAACAAUAUCAAAUGCUCAUCCUUCUUAACCAGUAUAUACAUUUGCAUAGACUUAGAAAAAAGUAUGGAAAGCUAAUUAUCAAAACUUACCUCUGGAAGAGAAAUUAGAAGAUCAGGAGGAGAAGAAAGAGCCUUAUCUUUUUUACUAUAUAUUUCAAUACUGCUUUAAUUGUUUUACAGUGAAUAUUAACUGUUAGUACAUUAAAAAUUCCUUUUUAAUAAUAAAAUGUUCUUUUUUAAAUAUAUUUUUGAAUUGGUAUCUUGAGAAACAUCAAUUAUACUUCAAAGCAGUAUUUCUCAGUCUGGUUUCCAGGUCACAGGAAUCAAAACCACCUGGAGCUGACUUCUAGGCCCAUAUUUGUCUAUGGAAAAGAUGUAUGUAUGUGGGAUCUGGGAAUCAUUUAAUAAGCAGCCUAGAAGCCUCAUAUGAAUCCUAAAAUUUGAGAAGUAAAGACCUAAAGAGUGAGAUAGCCAAGAUGUUUCUGAGGCAUGCUUGCUUAGACAGAUACAAACUAAAUAAUAAUGAUGACUUAUACUUUUGUAUUGAGCUUUGGACUUUCAAAACUUUUUAUAAGAACUGGGGCUGUAGCUCAGUGGCGGAGUGCUUGCCUAGCACAUGUGAGGCACUGGGUUUAAUCCUUAGCACUGCAUUUAAAAAAUAAAUAAAUAAAAUAAAGUUGUCCAUCUACAACUACAAAAAAAUUUUUUAAACAUUUAAUAUUUAUUUUCAAAUUAUUAUAAUUUUAAUUGACAAAUAAUUGUAUUUAUGAGUUAUCAUGAUAUUUUGAUAUAUGUAUGCAUUUUGGAAUAAUCAAAUCUAGCUAAUUAACAUUUAUCACCUCACAUGCUCAUCAUCUUUUUUUGUGGUAAGAACAUUCAACUUAAUCCCUUAGCAAUUAUGAACCGACAUUAAUACUAGUUAUAAUAACCAUGCUGUGCAAUGGAUCACAAAAAUGUAUUCCUACUCUGUCACUGAACCUUGCACCCUUUGACCAACAUCCCUCUCCAUCCCCUCACCCCCCAGGCUUUGUUGACCACUAUUCUACUCCCUUCUGAGUUUAACAUUUUAAGAUACUAUCUAUAUGUGAGCAUUCAGUAUUU
rnacentral:lncRNA from 1 species